rnacentral:rRNA from 1 species
ACGAACGCUGGCGGCGUGCCUCAUACAUGCCAGUCGAACGCACAGUUUAUACCGUAGCUUGCUACACCAUAGACUGUGAGUUGCGAACGGGUGAGUAACGCGUAGGUAACCUGCCUGGUAGCGGGGGAUAACUAUUGGAAACGAUAGCUAAUACCGCAUAAUAUUAAUUAUUGCAUGAUAAUUAAUUGAAAGGUGCAAUUGCACCACUCCCAGAUGGACCUGCGUUGUAUUAGCUAGUAGGUGAGGUAACGGCUCACCUAGGCGACGAUACAUAGCCGACCUGAGAGGGUGAUCGGCCACACUGGGACUGAGACACGGCCCAGACUCCUACGGGAGGCAGCAGUAGGGAAUCUUCGGCAAUGGACGAAAGUCUGACCGAGCAACGCCGCGUGAGUGAAGAAGGUUUUCGGAUCGUAAAGCUCGGUUGUAAGAGAAGAACGGGUGUGAGAGUGGAAAGUUCACACUGUGACGGUAUCUUACCAGAAAGGGACGGCUAACUACGUG